AGCACCGCCAGUUACCACGCAGACAUCCUGGGGAACUGAGGACAUUUCUUGAAGAGAUGUGAACAAAGGCCUGCUCGUCCAGAUAGUGUCCCGAGGACAAACCAAAGAAGUCAUCCCACCUAAGUCCAGCUUGGAGCCAGUGACUUUAUAGAAGGGUGACCUACAGGACCAUGGGUGACUGUAUCAUCAAGCCACUCCACCAUGAAAGCUGCAUCCCUGGAUCUCACUGUGCAGCAUGCAGGUAACCCCUCUGCCCACCACCUACCAGAGGUAGUGGAAAAGAAAGGACAUGGGGGAAGUGGACCUGUUUAGAAGUGGUUCUUUGAAGCAGCUCUCAUCUGUGUUAUCAGGAAAUCGGCAGUUUGGUUUACAGGUCAGCAACAGCAGCUUGAUCCACUUGCAAACACUUCACAGAUACACCAGCAGUCCAGUUCGGGAGAGUCCGAAGAGCAAACAUGAAUCAGCAGUAGUGCCA
ensembl:antisense